UACGGGGGGGGGCAAGCGUUGUUCGGAAUUACUGGGCGUAAAGGGCGCGUAGGCGGCACUGUUAGUCAGGCGUGAAAGUCCUGGGCUCAACCUGGGAACUGCGCUUGAUACGGCAGAGCUAGAGGAUGGAAGAGGCUCGCGGAAUUCCCAGUGUAGAGGUGAAAUUCGUAGAUAUUGGGAAGAACACCGGUGGCGAAGGCGGCGAGCUGGUCCAUUACUGACGCUGAGGCGCGACAGCGUGGGGAGCAAACAGG
rnacentral:rRNA from 1 species